UUGGAGGGCAAGUCUGGUGCCAGCAGCCGCGGUAAUUCCAGCUCCAAUAGCGUAUAUUAAAGUUGUUGCAGUUAAAAAGCUCGUAGUUGAAUUUCGGGGUUAGUAGGUUGGUCAUGCCACUGGUAUGUACUGGUCUCACUGAUUCCUCCUUCCUGAUGAGACGUAAUGCCAUUAAUUUGGUGUUGCGAGGAAUCUGGACUGUUACUUUGAAAAAAUUAGAGUGUUUAAAGCGGGCUAACGCUUGAAUACAUUAGCAUGGAAUAAUGAAAUAGGACGUUCGAUCUUAUUUUGUUGGUUUCUAGGAUUGACGUAAUGAUUAAUAGGGAUAGUUGGGGGCAUUAGUAUUCAAUUGUCAGAGGUGAAAUUCUUGGAUUUAUUGAAGACUAACUACUGCGAAAGCAUUUGCCAAGGAUGUUUUCAUUAAUCAAGAACGAAAGUUAGGGGAUCGAAGACGAUCAGAUACCGUCGUAGUCUUAACCAUAAACUAUGCCGACUAGGGAUCGGAUGAUGUUAAUUUUUUAAUGACUCAUUCGGCGCCUUACGGGAAACCAAAGUGUUUGGGUUC
rnacentral:rRNA from 1 species